rnacentral:sRNA from 1 species
GAUCGCAGUAUGUCAAAUGACAAGCGACAACGAUCUGGAAAAGAACUUUCAAGCCGCGAAAAAUAUGAUCGAAAGAGCCGGAGAAAAGAAGUGCGAGGUAAAAAUUCUACGGCUCCCGGAGCAAAGCUGCCGUCGAAAAAACGGGAAUUUUUGGAUUAAAAAUAGGAAAAAAAAAUUUCGAAAAUUCCGAAAAAUGUGGCAAUUUUAAUCAUAAAUCGAAUAAUUUUUAAAAUCAUGUAAAAAAAAUGUUUCCAGAUGGUUUUCCUACCAGAAUGCUUCGAUUUCAUUGGGCUCAACAAAAAUGAGCAAAUCGAUUUGGCGAUGGCUACGGACUGUGAAUAUAUGGAAAAAUAUCGGGAGUUGGCGAGAAAACACAAUAUUUGGCUUUCACUAGGAGGCCUUCAUCACAAGGUUAAUACUUGAAAAAAUUAAUAAUGGCUGAACUUCAGAAGUUUAGGAUCCAUCAGACGCUGCUCAUCCAUGGAACACCCAUCUGAUCAUAGAUUCCGAUGGAGUAACUCGUGCUGAGUACAACAAGCUUCACCUCUUCGAUUUGGAGAUUCCUGGAAAAGUACGAUUGAUGGAGAGCGAGUUCAGCAAGGCUGGCACUGAG